rnacentral:rRNA from 1 species
AUUGAACGCUGGCGGCAGGCCUAACACAUGCAAGUCGAGCGGAGCGGCGGACGGGUGAGUAAUGCCUAGGAAUCUGCCUGGUAGUGGGGGAUAACGUCCGGAAAGGGGCGCUAAUACCGCAUACUAUCAGAUGAGCCUAGGUCGGAUUAGCUAGUUGGUGGGGUAAAGGCCUACCCAGGCGACGAUCCGUACCUGGUCUGAGAGGAUGAUCAGUCACACUGGAACUGAGACACGGCCCAGACUCCUACGGGAGGCAGCAGUGGGGAAUCUUGGACAAUGGGCGAAAGCCUGAUCCAGCCACGCCGCGUGAGUGAAGAAGGUUUUCGGAUCGUAAAGCUCUGUAAGUUGGGAGGCGGUACCUAAACAGUAAGCACCGGCUAACUUCGUGCCAGCAGCCGCGGUAAUAC